AACGAACGCUGGCGGCAGGCCUAACACAUGCAAGUCGAGCGGACCCUUCGGGGUUAGCGGCGGACGGGUUAGUAACGCGUGGGAAUAUGCCCAAAGGUACGGAAUAGCCUCGGGAAACUGAGAGUAAUACCGUAUGUGCCCUUCGGGGGAAAGAUUUAUCGCCUUUGGAUUAGCCCGCGUUGGAUUAGGUAGUUGGUGGGGUAAUGGCCUACCAAGCCGACGAUCCAUAGCUGGUUUGAGAGGAUGAUCAGCAACACUGGGACUGAGACACGGCCCAGACUCCUACGGGAGGCAGCAGUGGGGAAUCUUAGACAAUGGGGGAAACCCUGAUCUAGCCAUGCCGCGUGAGCGAUGAAGGCCUUAGGGUUGUAAAGCUCUUUCAGGGGGGAAGAUAAUGACUGUACCCCCAGAAGAAGCCCCGGCUAACUCCGUGCCAGCAGCCGCGGUAAAGUCG
rnacentral:rRNA from 1 species